rnacentral:rRNA from 1 species
ACGUAGGGGACGAGCGUUAUCCGGAUUUACUGGGCGUAAAGCGCAUGUAGGUGGCCUUUCAAGUUGGACGUGAAAGCUCCCGGCUCAACUGGGAGAGGUCGUUCAAUACUACCGGACUUGAGAGCGAUAGAGGAAAAUGGAAUUCCCGGUGUAGUGGUGGAAUGCGUAGAUAUCGGGAGGAAUACCGGUGGCGAAGGCGACGCUCUGGUCCAGCCCUGACACUGAGGCGCGAAAGCGUGGGGAGCAAACGG